CACUCUCUUCCUUAAAAAAAAAAAAAAAAAAAACACUCUCUCUCCAAAAAGAAAGAGUUGCACCGUCCAAAACUAAACCCCACUCUCUCUCCACUCCAACCACCGUCCUUCCUUCAUUCACCGUCCUUCCUUCACCGUCCUUCCUUCAUUCUCGAAAGAGCUUCACCGUCCUUCAACUCAAAAACUGAAGUCCAAAACUGAAAUCAAAAUCAAAGUCAUAAUCGAAAUCAAAGGAAGAAGUUGGAAUCGAAGUCGGAAUCGUGGUGGUGAAAUCGUUUCUCUCAUUCUUCUCUGCGAGGUGCCAACUGCUACUGGUGUUAGAAGAAUCAAACAGACGGAUCAAGAUCUAGGAACUAUGGAUCGGAAAUGGGUGUCUGCGAAUCGAGCUUCAAAGGAGUACAUAGAAGGAGUGAAAGAGUUUGUUGAGUUUGUUGUUGCUCAUGCAAACGACAACAGUAACAUCAUAUGCCCAUGCUUAGAAUGUUGUUACAGAAUAGUUAGUGCGGAGCAUUUUCAAGAUCACUUAAUAUGUAAUGGAAUCGAUGAAAGCUAUACAUGUUGGACAAUGCACAGGGAAGAAGAAACUGAGUCUGUUGGUUUGAGGAGUAAUGUGAGAGAUACGUCAAAUGAUUAUGAGUUUGAUCGAGUCGAAGAGUUUGUGAAUGAAAUUGAAGAAGAUCUUCGUGAUUGUCCCGAAAUGUUUGAGAGGCUAGUAAGAGAUUCAAAGAUACCAUUGUAUGAUGGAUGUGCUAAAUUCACAAGAUUGUCUACGGUCUUAAAAUUGUAUAACUUAAAAGCACGCAAUGGAUGGUCUUGAUAAGAGCUUUACAGACUUGCUAACUCUAUUAAAAGAUAUAUGCCAGGUUCUUGUCCGAAAAUUUGAUCAAGCCUCGUGGGUUGGAAAAUAAGUUCUCAUUUUUAUCCCCACAUAUAUCUCAAGAGGAUAAACAAGGGCAACAUCCUAUUGACACACAAGUUUAAGAAUAAGCUGAUUUUUGCACUGGUCAAUUUAGGGCUAAAUCAUUGGGUGUUGCUUGUCAUCAAUCCCGGAGCUGAGAUGAUAUAUUAUAUGGAUUCAUUGCCGGAGGGACAUCCUAACAUUGACGUUGUAAGAAAAAAGUUCAUGAAUGCCAUGUGUAUUUGCCGUUCCCUUAAUCCCAAGUUAAAAUCAAAGUCAAGUAUAAUCCCAUGGAAAGAAAUAAAGAGAUAAUAUUGGCAAAUCAAGACAUGAUCCCCGAAAAUGUAUUACUUUGGAGAUUACAAACGUAAAACCUAUUCUAAAGAUAAGCUAGUUGAGGUCGAGGAGGAUUGGGCAACCUUUAUGGUCGAGUAUCUUAGAGACUAUAUUGCUCAGAGACUUACACUCUAAUUGGUUGUACUGGACUAUAUAGCUCGUCACAAGUCCUCUAAAAUUUAGGUGUUUUUUUAUUUGUAAUUGUGGCUGCUUUUAGGAGCUUUUUUUUUUUUUUAUUGGCAACUUUGAUUUGACUAGUAUUAUGACAUUCAGGAUUAAGUUUAUGAUCAAUUCGUAUUGAGAUUAUCAUGAAUGUAAUUUGCUAUAUUCAUAUUUCA